rnacentral:lncRNA from 1 species
GCGGGCCGGUGACAAAGGUUGAAUGGAACUUGUGCAGCUGUUUUUUACCCUUGCAGUCUGCUGUGUGCCCAUGCUGCGGGUUGAGCGGUGCCGUUGUGCGGGGCGGACGUUCGGUAGAUUGUCUCAAAUGCAAAUACCUUCUGGAGCCCUGUUGAAGAUCUGGUAUCUUCUAUUUGGCUGACUUCAAGAUCUGCUUAUGUGAUACUCUGCUCAUCUAAGAAAUUGUAGAUGUCACAUUAGGGUCACAGGACUACUAUGGAUCUCAGUUGCUGAAUUCAAUCUCCUGCUUCUAGGCAUCACCGUGCAUCAUAAUCUUCUUCACCAA